rnacentral:rRNA from 1 species
ACCUGCGGAAGGAUCAUUACCGAGUGUAGGGUUCCUAGCGAGCCCAACCUCCCACCCGUGUUUACUGUACCUUAGUUGCUUCGGCGGGCCCGCCAUUCGUGGCCGCCGGGGGCUCUCAGCCCCGGGCCCGCGCCCGCCGGAGACACCACGAACUCUGUCUGAUCUAGUGAAGUCUGAGUUGAUUGUAUCGCAAUCAGUUAAAACUUUCAACAAUGGAUCUCUUGGUUCCGGCAUCGAUGAAGAACGCAGCGAAAUGCGAUAACUAGUGUGAAUUGCAGAAUUCCGUGAAUCAUCGAGUCUUUGAACGCACAUUGCGCCCCCUGGUAUUCCGGGGGGCAUGCCUGUCCGAGCGUCAUUGCUGCCCAUCAAGCACGGCUUGUGUGUUGGGUCGUCGUCCCCUCUCCGGGGGGGACGGGCCCCAAAGGCAGCGGCGGCACCGCGUCCGAUCCUCGAGCGUAUGGGGCUUUGUCACCCGCUCUGUAGGCCCGGCCGGCGCUUGCCGAACGCAAAUCAAUCUUUUUCCAGGUUGACCUCGGAUCAGGUAGGGAUACCCGCUGAACUUAAGCAUAUCAAUAAGCGGAGGAA